rnacentral:rRNA from 1 species
UACAGAGGGUGCAAGCGUUAAUCGGAUUUACUGGGCGUAAAGCGCGCGUAGGCGGCUAAUUAAGUCAAAUGUGAAAUCCCCGAGCUUAACUUGGGAAUUGCAUUCGAUACUGGUUAGCUAGAGUGUGGGAGAGGAUGGUAGAAUUCCAGGUGUAGCGGUAGAAAUGCGUAGAGAUCUGGAGGAAUACCGAUGGCGAAGGCAGCCAUCUGGCCUAACACUGACGCUGAGGUGCGAAAGCAUGGGGAGCAAACAGG